rnacentral:tRNA from 1 species
CCCCUGGUGGUCUAGUGGUUAGGAUGUGGCGCUCUCACCACCACGGCCUGGGUUCGAUUCCCGGUCAAGGAA